AACCCCCMGCUAGGCUGGGGGUUCAGUAAAGCUUUCAGCUUUGGGUCAGUUAUAAAAACCCCUUUUGAUUUCUUGUUGAACAUUUGCAGUUGCCAGACCGCAAACUGUUUUAACAAAUCAAAAG
rnacentral:sRNA from 1 species